rnacentral:rRNA from 1 species
AGUGAACGCUGGCGGUAGGCCUAACACAUGCAAGUCGAACGGCAGCACAGUAAGAGCUUGCUCUUACGGGUGGCGAGUGGCGGACGGGUGAGGAAUACAUCGGAAUCUACUUUUUCGUGGGGGAUAACGUAGGGAAACUUACGCUAAUACCGCAUACGACCUACGGGUGAAAGCAGGGGAUCUUCGGACCUUGCGCGAUUGAAUGAGCCGAUGUCGGAUUAGCUAGUUGGCGGGGAAAAGGCCCACCAAGGCGACGAUCCGUAGCUGGUCUGAGAGGAUGAUCAGCCACACUGGAACGGAGACACGGUCCAGACUCCUACGGGAGGAAGCAGUGGGGAAUAUUGGACAAUGGGCGCAAGCCUGAUCCAGCCAUACCGCGUGGGUGAAGAAGGCCUUCGGGUUGUAAAGCCCUUUUGUUGGGAAAGACAAGCAGCAGGUUAAUACCCCGCUGUUCUGACGGUACCCAAAGAAUAAGCACCGGCUAACUUCGUG